GGUUUGACUGGGCGGCCUGUACUGAACGCCGGCGGACAAGCCAGCACAUGCAAGUCGAACGGCAGCACGACUUAUCUGGUGGCGAGUGGCGAACGGGUGAGUAAUGUAUCGGAACGUGCCUAGUAGCGGGGGAUAACUACGCGAAAGCGUAGCUACUACCGCACGCCCUUCGGGGGAAAGCGGGGGGACCUUCGGGCCCCGCAAUUAUUAGGAGCGGCCGAUAUCGGAUUAGCUAGUUGGUGGGGUAACGGCUCAAGGCGACGAUCCGUAGCUGGUUUGAGAGGACGACCAGCCACACUGGGACUGAGACACGGCCCAGACUCUACGGGAGGCAGCAGUGGGGAAUUUUGGACAAUGGGGGGAAACUCCCUGAUCCAGCCAUCUCCGCGUGUGUGAUGAAGGCCUUCGGGUUGUAAAGCACUUUUUGGCAGGAAGUAAUGGGAUAAUACCCCGUGCAACUGACGGUACCUGCAGAAUAAGCAUUCGGCUAACUAUGUCAGCAGCUGCGUAAUACGUAGGGUAAGCGUUAAUCGGAAUUACUGGGCGCAGCGUGCGCAGGCGGUUCGAAAAAUAAAAGAUGCGUAAAUCCAGAGCUUAACUUUUGGAACUGUAUUUUUAACUACUGAGCUAGAGUGUGUCAGAGGGAGGUGGAAUUCCGCGUGUAGCAGUGAAAUGCGUAGAUAUGGAGGAACACCGAUGGCGAAGGCAGCCUCCUGGGAUAACACUGACGCUCAUGCACGAAAGCGUGGGGAGCAAACAGGAUUAGAUAACGGGUAGUCCACGCCCUAAACGAUGUCAACUAGCUGUUGGGGCCUUUCGGGCCUUGGUAGCGCAGUCUAUCGCGUGAAGUUGACCGCCUGGGGAGUACGGUCGCAAGAUUAAAAACUCAAAGGAAUUGACGGGACCCGCACAAGCGGUGGAUGAUGUGGAUUAAUUCGAUGGGCAACGCGAAAAACCUUACCUACCCUUGACAUGUCUGGAAUCCCGAAGAGAUUUGGGAGUGUUUCCGCAAGAGAACCGGAACACAGGUGCUGUACGGCUGUCGUCAGCUCGUGCCGUGUAGAGCAAGCUGGGUUAAGUCCGCAACGAGCGCAACCUUGACAAUAGUUGCCACGAAAGGGCACUCUAGAUGACUGCCGGUGACAAACCGAGGAAGGUGGGGAUGACGUCAAGUCCUCAUGGCCCUUUAUGGGUAGCUUCACACGUCAUACAAUGGUCGGGACAGAGGGUCGCUAACCCGCGAGGGGGAGCCAAUCCCAGAAACCCGAUCGUAGGUCCGGAUCGCAGUCUGCAACCGACCGCGAAGUCAACUGCUAGUAAUCGCGGUCACACGUCGCAGUGAAUACGUUCCCGGGUCUUGUACACACCGCCCGUCACACCAUGGAGUGGGUUUGCUCAGAAGUAGUUAGCCUAACCGUGUAAGGAGGCGAUUACCACGGUAGGAUUCAUGACUGGGGUGAAGUCAACAAGGUAA
rnacentral:rRNA from 1 species